CAAGGCUUGACAUAUACGAGAACGGGCUAGAAAUAGUCAACUCUUUGGACACUCGUAAACAGGUGGUGCAUGGUUGUCGUCAGCUCGUGUCGUGAGAUGUUGGGUUAAGUCCCGCAACGAGCGCAACCCUCGUUCUAUGUUGCCAGCACGUAAUGGUGGGAACUCAUAAGAGACUGCCGGGGUCAACUCGGAGGAAGGUGGGGAUGACGUCAAAUCAUCAUGCCCCUUAUGUCUUGGGCUUCACGCAUGCUACAAUGGCCGGUACAAAGGGCUGCAAUACCGCAAGGUGGAGCGAAUCCCAAAAAGCCGGUCUCAGUUCGGAUUGAGGUCUGCAACUCGACCUCAUGAAGUCGGAGUCGCUAGUAAUCGCAGAUCAGCAACGCUGCGGUGAAUA
rnacentral:rRNA from 1 species